rnacentral:lncRNA from 1 species
CAAAGGACAUCAAAACUCUACACUAAGAAUCAUGUCAAAACGCAAUUCCUACCACGGAACCUGGGGCUAAUUUAUAUUUUUUCUGAUCUCUUACAUAUUAAGUGAAAGAGGAAAAUAUUUAAAGGGAGCCCUGGAUCUGGGGCCAAACACUCCACAAUUGGGUCUGCCACUUUGGCCACCCUAGUGAAGCAGAUCAUCCUACCUGUGCUGACCAGAGGAGUGGGGAAGAUUUGCUACAGUUAUGUAGGUCAGUCACCAGGUCCUGGAAAAGAAUUGAAGGACAAAACCUUGCUGAGAUACUGACAUGGGGAGCUCUUUGUAAAGAGUCUGGAUCUGGAUUGUGUAAUGCACAGAAGCAAAAC